UGAGAGGAGCUUGCUUUUCUUAGCUUAGUGGCGAACGGGUGAGUAACGCGUGAGUAACCUGCCCUGGAGUGGGGGACAACAGUUGGAAACGACUGCUAAUACCGCAUAACGUAUCGGGAUGGCAUCUUCCUGAUACCAAAGAUUUUAUCGCUGAAAGAUGGCCUCGCGUCUGAUUAGCUAGUUGGUGAGGUAACGGCCCACCAAGGCGACGAUGGGUAGCCGAUUUAAGAGGAUGAUCGGCCACAUUGGAACUGAGAUACGGUCCAGACUCC
rnacentral:rRNA from 1 species